rnacentral:rRNA from 1 species
UGAGAACUGAUAGCAAGCUGUACUUGUACAGUGAAGUGGCUGAUACCAUGCUUCCAGGAAAAGUCUCUAAGCUUCAGUUACACAGGAAUCGUACCCGAAACCGACACAGGUGGUCAGGUCGAGUAGACCGAAGCGCUUGAGAGAACUCUGCUGAAGGAACUAGGCAAAAUGGUACCGUAACUUCGGGAGAAGGUACGCUGCCGACGGUGAUGGGAUUUACUCCCUGAGCGGUUGGCAGCCACAGAAACCAGGCCCCUGCAACUGUUUAUUAAAAACAUAGCACUCUGCAAACACGAAAGUGGACGUAUAGGGUGUGAUGCCUGCCCGGUGCUGGAAGGUUAAUUGAUGGGGUUAGCGUAAGCGAAGCUCUUGAUCGAAGCCCCAGUAAACGGCGGCCGUAACUAUAACGGUCCUAAGGUAGCGAAAUUCCUUGUCGGGUAAGUUCCGACCUGCACGAGUGGCAUAAUGAUGGGGGCGCUGUCUCCAGCAGAGACUCAGUGAAAUCGAAUUCGCCGUGAAGAUGCGGUGUACCCGCGGCUAGACGGAAAGACCCCGUGAACCUUUACUGCAGCUUGACAUUGAACUUUGAUCUUACUUGUGUAGGAUAGGUGGGAGGCUUUGAAACUCGGACGCUAGUUCGAGUGGAGCCAAUCUUGAAAUACCACCCUGGUAAUAUUGAGGUUCUAACUCUGCUCCAUUAUCUGGAGCGAGGACCAUGUCUGGUGGGUAGUUUGACUGGGGCGGUCUCCUCCUAAAGAGUAACGGAGGAGUACGAAGGUGCGCUCAGCGUGGUCGGAAAUCACGCGUAGAGUAUAAAGGCAAAAGCGCGCUUAACUGCGAGACCCACAAGUCGAGCAGGUACGAAAGUAGGUCUUAGUGAUCCGGUGGUUCUGUAUGGAAGGGCCAUCGCUCAACGGAUAAAAGGUACUCUGGGGAUAACAGGCUGAUACCGCCCAAGAGUUCAUAUCGACGGCGGUGUUUGGCACCUCGAUGUCGGCUCAUCUCAUCCUGGGGCUGAAGCAGGUCCCAAGGGUAUGGCUGUUCGCCAUUUAAAGGGGUACGCGAGCUGGGUUUAGAACGUCGUGAGACAGUUCGGUCCCUAUCUACCGUGGGCGUUGGAAAUUUGAGAGGAUCUGCUCCUAGUACGAGAGGACCAGAGUGGACGAACCUCUGGUGUACCGGUUGUGACGCCAGUCGCAUCGCCGGGUAGCUAUGUUCGGAAGGGAUAACCGCUGAAAGCAUCUAAGCGGGAAGCUUACCUCAAGAUAAGAUUUCCCAAGGACUUUAUGUCCUCUAAAGAGCCGUUGAAGACUACGACGUUGAUAGGUUGGAUGUGGAAGUGCAGUGAUGCAUGAAGCUGACCAAUACUAAUUGCUCGUGAGGCUUGACUA